rnacentral:rRNA from 1 species
UGCGUAGGUGGCAAGCGUUGUCCGGAUUUACUGGGCGUAAAGAGCGCGCAGGCGGUCGUUCAAGUCGCGUGUGAAAGCCCCCGGCUCAACUGGGGAGGGUCACGCGAUACUGAUCGACUGGAAGGCAGGAGAGGGUAGUGGAAUUCCCGGUGUAGUGGUGAAAUGCGUAGAUAUCGGGAGGAACACCAGUGGCGAAGGCGACUACCUGGCCUGUUCUUGACGCUGAGGCGCGAAAGCUAGGGGAGCAAACGGG